rnacentral:rRNA from 1 species
CCUACGGGAGGCAGCAGUGGGGAAUAUUGCGCAAUGGGCGCAACCCUGAUGCAGCAACGCCGCGUGAAGGAAGACGGUUUUCGGGUUGUAAACUUCUUUUAAGGGGGACGAGAGAAAUGACGGUACCUAUAUAUGAAGCCCCGCCUAACUACGUGCCAGCAGCCGCGGUAAUACGUAGGGGGCAAGCUUUUUCCGGAUUUCCUGGGGGUAAAGGGCGAGUAGGCGGGAAGGUAAGCUAUAUGUGAAAGCCUUAGGCUUAACCUGAGGAUUGCAUAAAAAACUAUCUAGCUAGAGUACAGGAGAGGAAAGCGGAAUUCCUAGUGUAGCGGUGAAAUGCGUAGAUAUUAGGAAGAACACCAGUGGCGAAGGCGGAUUUCUGGACUGAAACUGACGCUGAGGCGCGAAAGCGUGGGGAGCGAACAGGAUUAGAUACCCCAGUAGUC